rnacentral:rRNA from 1 species
UACGAAGGGGGCUAGCGUUGCUCGGAAUCACUGGGCGUAAAGGGUGCGUAGGCGGGUCUUUAAGUCAGGGGUGAAAUCCUGGAGCUCAACUCCAGAACUGCCUUUGAUACUGAAGAUCUUGAGUUCGGGAGAGGUGAGUGGAACUGCGAGUGUAGAGGUGAAAUUCGUAGAUAUUCGGAAGAACACCAGUGGCGAAGGCGACACACUGGCCCAAUACUGACGCUGAGGCGCGAAAGCGUGGGGAGCAAACAGG